GACGAACGCUGGCGGCGUGCUUAACACAUGCAAGUCGAACGGUAAGGCCCUUCGGGGUACACGGGUGGCGAACGGAUGAGUAACACGUGGGUGAUCUGCCCUGCACUUCGGGAUAAGCCUGGGAAACUGGGUCUAAUACCGGAUAGGACCACUGCCUGCAUGGGUGGUGGUGGAAAGCUUUUGCGGUGUGGGAUGGGCCCGCGGCCUAUCAGCUUGUUGGUGGGGUGAUGGCCUACCAAGGCGACGACGGGUAGCCGGCCUGAGAGGGUGACCGGCCACACUGGGACUGAGAUACGGCCCAGACUCCUACGGGAGGCAGCAGUGGGGAAUAUUGCACAAUGGGCGCAAGCCUGAUGCAGCGACGCCGCGUGAGGGAUGACGGCCUUCGGGUUGUAAACCUCUUUCAGCACCGACGAAGCGCAAGUGACGGUAGGUGCAGAAGAAGGACCGGCCAACUACGUGCCAGCCGCCGCCGUAA
rnacentral:rRNA from 1 species